rnacentral:rRNA from 1 species
UGCCAGUGAUAAACUGGAGGAAGGUGGGGAUGACGUCAAGUCAUCAUGGCCCUUACGACCAGGGCUACACACGUGCUACAAUGGCGCAUACAAAGAGAAGCGACCUCGCGAGAGCAAGCGGACCUCAUAAAGUGCGUCGUAGUCCGGAUUGGAGUCUGCAACUCGACUCCAUGAAGUCGGAAUCGCUAGUAAUCGUGGAUCAGAAUGCCACGGUGAAUACGUUCCCGGGCCUUGUACACACCGCCCGUCACACCAUGGGAGUGGGUUGCAAAAGAAGUAGGUAGCUUAACCUUCGGGAGGGCGCUUACCACUUUGUGAUUCAUGACUGGGGUGAAGUCGUAACAAGGUAACCGUAGGGGAACC